rnacentral:rRNA from 1 species
UGCAAGUCGAGGGGUAGAAAGUCUUCGGACUUUUGAGACCGGCGAACGGGUGAGUAACACGUAGAUAAUCUGUCUCUGGAUGGGGGAUAGCCCNAUGGAAACAUGGGUGUAAUACCCGCAUAAGCUCUCUUUUUCAUAAGGAGGAGAGAGGAAAGGCGCUUAGGGGUCGUCCGGAGAGGAGUCUGCGGUUCAUUAGUUAGUUGGUGGGGUAAAGGCCUACCAAGGCGACGAUGAAUAGCCGGCCUGAGAGGGUGAACGGCCACACUGGGACUGAGACACGGCCCAGACUCCUACGGGAGGCAGCAGCUAAGAAUCUUCCGCAAUGGGCGAAAGCCUGACGGAGCGACGCCGCGUGAACGAAGAAGGCCUAACGGUUGUAAAGUUCUUUUCUUGGGGAGGAAUAAGCCUUGCAGGGAAUGGCAGGGUGAUGACGUUAACCGAGGAAAAAGCCCCGGCUAAUUACGUGCCAGCAGCCGCGGUAACACGUAAGGGGCGAGCGUUGUUCGGAAUUAUUGGGCGUAAAGGGCGCGUAGGCGGCAUGGCAAGUCAGGUGUGAAAGAUCUCAGCUCAACUGAGGAAACGCGCUUGAAACUGCUGUGCUGGAGUCUAGGAGGGGAAGCUGGAAUUCCUAGUGUAGGGGUGAAAUCAGUAGAUAUUAGGAAGAACACCGGUGGCGAAGGCGAGCUUCUGGCCAUAGACUGACGCUGAGGCGCGAAAGCGUGGGGAGCGAACAGGAUUAGAUACCCUGGUAGUCCACGCCGUAAACGAUGUGCACUGGGUGUCGGCCCGUUGGGGUCGGUGCCGAAGCUAACGCGAUAAGUGCACCGCCUGGGGAGUAUGCUCGCAAGGGUGAAACUCAAAAGAAUUGACGGGGGCCCGCACAAGCGGUGGAGCAUGUGGUUUAAUUCGAUGAUACGCGAGAAACCUUACCAGGGCUUGACAUAUGUAAGACAGCGUUGGAGACAACGCCUCUCUUCGGAGCCUAUAUACAGGUGCUGCAUGGCUGUCGUCAGCUCGUGCUGUGAAGUGUUGGGUUAAGUCCCGCAACGAGCGCAACC